rnacentral:pre_miRNA from 1 species
UGGGGGGUGGGGGGGAUCUCUUAGCCCAGAUUGAGAGAGGGCGCAGGCCAGGCUGAGGGACCCCACUGGUGCACA